UACGGAAGGCAGCAGUGGGGAAUAUUGCACAAUGGGCGCAAGCCUGAUGCAGCCAUGCCGCGUGUAUGAAGAAGGCCUUCGGGUUGUAAAGUACUUUCAGUCGUGAGGAAGGUGUUAAGGUUAAUAACCUUAGCAAUUGACGUUAGCGACAGAAGAAGCACCGGCUAACUCCGUGCCAGCAGCCGCGGUAAUACGGAGGGUGCGAGCGUUAAUCGGAAUUACUGGGCGUAAAGGGCACGCAGGCGGUUAAUAAGUUGGAUGUGAAUCCCGGGCUUAACCUGGGAAUGGCAUUCAAGACUGGUUAGCUAGAGUCUUGUAGAGGGGGUAGAAUUCCAUGUGUAGCGGUGAAAUGCGUAGAGAUGUGGAGGAAUACCGGUGGCGAAGGCGGCCCCUGGACAAAGGACUGACGCUCAUGUGCGAAAGCGUGGGGAGCGAAACAGGGAUUAGAUACC
rnacentral:rRNA from 1 species